UUGUCCCUUAGUAGCUCUGAUGCAGGACCAGGUGGGAAAACUCUCGCACAUUGGAAAUAUUACUGCUGCAUACAAAGGAUCAUCUCCCCCAGAGUGACGAUCGAAUCAAAGAGGGGUUGAUAGAUGACAUUUUUGCAUCUCCAGAAACAUUGGUUGGUGAUCCCUAUUGGAGAACUUGUUUAAAGAAGUUGAACAUUAAGUUGAUUGUAAUUGAUGAGUUUCACACAAUAGCAAUUUGGGGCCAAGAUGAAGGAGACAGAGAAGAGGCUUUCCGAAAAUGGUUUUCAAAUGCAGGUGAACUAAGAUCCCUCUUUCCCGAUGCUACAGUAUUGGCUUUAAGUGAAACUUACACUGUAAGCUUUAGGAAAAAGAUCAUGAAAAUAUUGCAGCUAGCGGAGGACACAACAGAAAUUAAUUUAUCACCAAACAAGUCUAAUAUU